rnacentral:rRNA from 1 species
CCCGUGGCGGCGGCUAUACAUGCAAGUCGAGCGGACAGAUGGGAGCUUGCUCCCUGAUGUUAGCGGCGGACGGGUGAGUAACACGUGGGUAACCUGCCUGUAAGACUGGGAUAACUCCGGGAAACCGGGGCUAAUACCGGAUGGUUGUUUGAACCGCAUGGUUCAGACAUAAAAGGUGGCUUCGGCUACCACUUACAGAUGGACCCGCGGCGCAUUAGCUAGUUGGUGAGGUAACGGCUCACCAAGGCGACGAUGCGUAGCCGACCUGAGAGGGUGAUCGGCCACACUGGGACUGAGACACGGCCCAGACUCCUACGGGAGGCAGCAGUAGGGAAUCUUCCGCAAUGGACGAAAGUCUGACGGAGCAACGCCGCGUGAGUGAUGAAGGUUUUCGGAUCGUAAAGCUCUGUUGUUAGGGAAGAACAAGUGCCGUUCAAAUAGGGCGGCACCUUGACGGUACCUAACCAGAAAGCCACGGCUAACUACGUGCCAGCAGCCGCGGUAAUACGUAGGUGGCAAGCGUUGUCCGGAAUUAUUGGGCGUAAAGGGCUCGCAGGCGGUUUCUUAAGUCUGAUGUGAAAGCCCCCGGCUCAACCGGGGAGGGUCAUUGGAAACUGGGGAACUUGAGUGCAGAAGAGGAGAGUGGAAUUCCACGUGUAGCGGUGAAAUGCGUAGAGAUGUGGAGGAACACCAGUGGCGAAGGCGACUCUCUGGUCUGUAACUGACGCUGAGGAGCGAAAGCGUGGGGAGCGAACAGGAUUAGAUACCCUGGUAGUCCACGCCGUAAACGAUGAGUGCUAAGUGUUAGGGGGUUUCCGCCCCUUAGUGCUGCAGCUAACGCAUUAAGCACUCCGCCUGGGGAGUACGGUCGCAAGACUGAAACUCAAAGGAAUUGACGGGGGCCCGCACAAGCGGUGGAGCAUGUGGUUUAAUUCGAAGCAACGCGAAGAACCUUACCAGGUCUUGACAUCCUCUGACAUCCUAGAGAUAGGGACGUCCCCUUCGGGGGCAGAGUGACAGUGGUGCAUGGAUGUCGUCAGCUCGUGUCGUGAGAUGUUGGGUUAAGUCCCCGCAACGAGCGCAACCCC